ncrna:Xanthomonas oryzae pv. oryzae PXO99A L31-Firmicutes ribosomal protein leader
CUCUGUGGUAAAAAUUGCUCAACAGGGCAAAGGAG